CUCAAAACUCCUUGAGCCAAUACGUAGACCCCAGUCCAAUUGACACCAGUCAAACAAUCGAUUCUACAACAACCGGUGUAUUUUAAUCAAUUUUAAAGUACUACACCUAAUUAUGAAGUUUAUUGAUGAUAUAGAGGAAGAAGGGAAUUAGCUAUUCAAUUCUUACAUAUUACUACUUUAGGAUAAUUGAAAAUAGGAAAAAUUUAUGUACCUGAGUUCAAGAAUUAGUGAUUUGUAAAGAAACCUAGAUUUUCUGUUGCCCGGCUCUCUGUUUCGUGAGUAAAUAAGACGUGCUUUUGCCUUCUGUCUUCGUUUACGAGAAUGACAGAACCUUAGGUUCUGUUAUUUGGCC
rnacentral:lncRNA from 1 species